CUGUUGGCCCACCUCGUCCAGGAA
rnacentral:misc_RNA from 1 species